UGCAAAGACAAGAGUUGCAUAAGCGAAUGUAAGAAAAUCCAACCAAGCCUGCUAACUUUUAGACUCUACAAAGACCACAUGGCUGUCUUCUUAAAACAGGCCUGAGUGUCACCGUCGCAGUCCUGUAAAACUGCAACAACAAAUCGCACUCUAGCCUUUAACACUAACACUGCACACCUACUAGAGCACCCAAUGGAAACCUCCCCCUCCCACCCACUUAACACACAUACAGAUAUAGGCAGACGCAGGCCAGCGCAGGACCUCUGCCCUGCAUGACGUAUGGGAGCUAGUCGCUGGCAGAGAACAUGAUCGGCCCAGUUCAGCUUUAAGUAUCUGCACGACCGAGGCGUGCAUGAAUGAGAAGAAGGUCAGUGGAGCAGAGUUUUCACAUUACUCCAAAGGGACGCACCUAGUUUAUCAAAGCUGUAAAUAUAGUACAUGUGCUGCCCAAGUAUGAAGUUAGAUGUAUGCAAGUACAGCAAGUUCUUUUUAGUCAAAGCACAAUGUCUGCACGUCUUAUGACGUAGUCAAAGCCAUUGAUGUGUAGAUGACGGAUAUAUUUAACAUGUUCACUCUCAAAGAAAGCUUCAGCUGACACACCCUACCCUCUAACAAAUACUCACACUCAGGUGUAGUCUGCACAUACAAGGGCUUCACAAAAGGUAAAUAUGUACGGCACAAACUACUACUCUCAGUUUCAGAGGGUUAAAAUCAAGAGUAGCUGUAAAUAUAUAGAUAUCUUUCUACAUUAACUCAAGCAAAUGUGAGUGGGAUGUCCUUUGGGGCCAAAUAAGCAUCUGCACCAUGAUAAAAGAGGGGGGUAGGGUGUGGAUGUCUUUGAGGUUUAACUGUCAUUUCAGUUUAAUGAAAAGAAACUCCGACUGAAUUUUUCCUUAAAAACAUGUACCAGGCACUUAGCCUAAACUUGGAUGGUGAUUUGUGCUUAAAUAUACAACUGCAGCGGGCUCACAAGCAGGCCACACGUGCAACAACAAAAAAAAGACCGAAAAAAAAAAAAGAAAGUGCUCGGUCCUUGUUUUUUUUUUAUGCUGGAAACGUUUGCUGGUUGCAGAACAACAACGACAAUGAUAAAGUGCUCACAAAAGAUUAGAGCUACUCUGAUAAACAGUCGAGAGGCUGAUGGCUCGUUUUGUUAUCAUCAGCCAAUCACUCGUGUGUUGUCAAGCACGGGCGGUUUGCUCAGCUUACGAACUAAAGGGCCUGAUGGUGUGUGCAAACAUGUUUUUCACAAAUGUGAAGAGGUAACAAAAGAAGAGCAGCCACAAAGAGGUCCAACGUGAUGUUUAUGGCCACGAUGCCCUUAAUGCACAUUUAUACACAUGCUCUCUCUCUGAAGAGAUCACAGACCUGCUCCCACACUGUGGGGAAACAUCCUGCUCACAGGGGCAGUGUCUAAUUUUUAGACCAAGUUUUUUUAUAGAAGCCCUUUUAAAUCCGUGCCAAAUGACCAUAAAGAGGAGGAUAAAUGCAAACGCUGCGCUGCCAUUAGUCGAUUGUGUUGGUGUAAUAAGAAUAAAAGCUGCAAGAAGCUCCAAAACUAUUUCCAGGGUCAAAUACUUUUGCACUUGACACAGUUUUGAAAGUGAGGAGAGGCUUGUUCUGUUGCAGAAGUUCCCAUUUAAACCCAGUAGAUGGGAUGUUCUGGCAGUGCAAAGCCAUCACUUCAGCCACUAAUAACUCAUCUUAUUACACCUUAAUUAACACCUAACAGCAGCACCUUGUUGCAGAACUGACAGAAACGGCCUAAAGGUCUGAUCAUCUGGGCGGAUUAAUACGACUUUACACCCACUGCUGUGUGAGCUCAGAGUGAUCCACGACCUAACGAGGAGCCGUUCUCCUUCUUGUUUUCCAAGCCAGACAAUAGACUCUUUGACGGUGUCUGUCGCAACCUCAUCAAUGAGGCUUGACCUUCAAGGAAGUUAAUGCAGAAAUACCCAUCCGUGCACACAUGCUCUCACUACUAUGACAUACCAAUAAUGCACCAUGUGGGGUGUCACAUAUACAUACAUAUAUGUAUAUACAUAUAAACACACACACACACACAUACAGUCUGCACAGACAACCUUGGGACAGGCAGCUGCAGGGCGUUUUCAGGCAAACAAACCAAUGGAAGAUUAUGGAGCGACGCGAGAGGAGUCACGUGUCGAAAACGCGGACGGGGAGUGGUCAGCGCAGGGGGUGGGUGCUAAUCCCUAGCGACCAAUCACAGAGCAGCAAACGUCUGCACGUCUCCAACGGAAAAUACCCAAACAGUGCUGUUUUUUGAUAUCGAUCCGAUACCAAGUAAAUACAGGGCCAGAACUGCUGAUACCGAUACUGAUAGCGAUAUUUUUAACCCGUAAAGGCAGCGUGAGAGCAGUGUCACUCUGAAAAUUCACACAUUUUAAUGACAACUAAAUCACUACGACUUUUACUUUCCACAAUAAUUUGUUAAGACAGCAAGAACUCACCUUUCUGCCUUUCUUUUUUUGUGUAUUUUUGAUUUCCAAAAAAUAAUUUGUUUAACACAGAUCAGUGGACCACAUGCUGAACUCAGAGGAUAGAAACAAAGUAACAAUCCUACUACGCUGGUAGCUCUGAAAUUCCAGUGUUGGUAUCGAUACUAACAUAUUUGUAUUGUUCCGCCCACUUCUAUUCAACAGGAUUACCGCCCAGCAGAGUUUCAUCAGAAUGGUUAGAGAGGUUACGUCAGGGGUUUUUCUUAUGCAUGAAUGAUCGGUUUUGUUUUAAUUAUUAUACUUUUAAAGUAGGGCUAUGGGGUAGUUUGUGUGUGUUUACUUGCCUUUUGAUGCGCUAUAUCCUUUUAUAUAUAGGCUUACUCAUCUUUUUGUUGUUACACAUAUAUUUAAUUAUUUAAGACCAAUAAAGAUUUUAAAGAAACCGUCCAUCGCACAGUGCCUGUUUGUCCCUGAUAUGAGUACCUAAAGUAGUUUCCUUUGAAAUGCAGACUCUUCAGUCACAUUACUGCAGGGGCCACUGAAUGAUUGGAGAACAGAUGUUAGUGGUGCAGAUAUUUGGAUCAGCCUUGUUCUAGCUUCUUUUGCUUCUACUGUUACAAUCCUUGUGAAUUUUACUAGUGUUACAAUUAAUACUUUUAUUUAUAUUUGUUGAUUUUGAGGCUUUAUGCAGCCCUGGUCUGUAUCUGAUUACAUGCAAGUUGCUCUGUGACUCCUUACUGUACAUUGAUCAACUUGCUAUAAAUAGAUAAAACGUGAUAAUCCACAUUUAAACACCUUUUUAUGUCAUCUGAAAUCUCACCGCUAGGUGGCGUUAAAGUAUGUUUGAUCACAUGGGCCCGUAGUAUUUGUCACUGUCACACUAUUCUUUCACUGUAAUGGCCUGCCUGUCUACUCACUGGCUUAGCCAAAUGUUGGAUCACGGUGCACAUUUUCUUCAUUUUCUUUCUCCCCACGGUGAUAGUGGGUCCACCUUCACGUGUCGUUGAAUGUGGGUGGUACACACUGAUACCAUCAUGCCAUCGAUGAACCGGUUUAUCCAUGUUUUCUUCACUUGAUGCUGUAGGCAUUUUAUUAAAUGCAGAUUAACUUAGGAAUGUAUGACUAUAGAUUGUGACAGCAGAUUUGAGCGAUUCGGUUACUCUGAGUGUGUGUGAGUUUGUGAAAUAAGAGUAUUAUUGUUGUUUUGAGUCAGGGCAGUGAAGUGAAGCUCAGCACUGGAGACGUGUCCCUUUUCAAAGGUAACACGUAAGCUCAAAACUUGUAUAAGUGAGAAAAUACACGCAUUGGCCACUUCAUUGGGUACAGCUGCUUGCUUAUUAAUAGGGGCCUUUCUAAUUGGAUUCUCUCCAGGUACUGGGACUGUGGGAGGAAGAAAGAUUAGGUUAAGAUUAGGUUAACUAGAGAUUCUAAACUGUCCAAAGGUGUGAAUGUGAGCACAAACAUAGAGAUGUUUUAGCCCUGUGACAGACUGACGACCCGUUCAGGGUAUAUCCUGCCUUUGAUCCUAUGACAGGUCGAAUAGGCUCUCUUUCUUCCUUAAAGAAAAAAGGUUGAAAUAAUAUGGUCAAGUUGACCUGGUGGAAUUCAAACUGAGCAUUAGAAUGAGGAAGAAAUGUGAUUUAAGUGUAUUUUAAUGUGGUAUUAUUGUUGGUGUCAGACAGCUGAGUAUAUCAGAAACUGCUAAUCUGCUGGGAUUUUCACAACCAUAUCUAGGGUUUACAGAGAAUGGUCUGAAAAAGAGAAAAUGUCCAGUGAGAGGCAGUUCUUGCUGAUUACAGUUGUUAGAGGAGAGUGGCCGAGAGUGGCCGGCUUUGAGCAGGUAGGAAAGAAAAAGGUAACUAAAACAACCACUCAUUUUUGAAUGCAUAAUACACCAAACCUCAUUAAACCUUUGCCAUAAAGAAUUAAAGAAAAUGUGAAGUUUGAAAUAGGUCUAACUCAGUACUAGCAAGGUGUACCUAAUAAAGUGGCUGAUUAGAGUAUAGAGGAUCACUUCUCAGCCUCUUAUACUUUGUGUGAUCAUCACUGUUGCAUUGCCAGCAAGGCAAGGACACAGAUAUCAAACUUCAGAAAAGUCAAAAACCUCUCAGAGUCAGAGCUGACUGCCGGAUUUAUUCUGAGUCAUUCACGGCGACAGAUACUCACGAAUAGGAGAUUAGUCAGGCGGCAGAUCGGGUGUAUUUCACAGCAGAAUAUGUGAGAACUACAGGCGCGUAUAAUGUGAAGCAGAAGUACACACAUGUAUUUGGUAGCACAUUUAUUUUGACACAAAAUCCAGUUUUCUGUUCAAUAGAGUUAAGCAGACGUCUGCGUCCAAUAUCGCAGAAUCUCAGUGAUGAUCAGUGAGAUGGAAGAAAUCUAAAUACAACCCCACCUUCUAAAAAACAAAA